GAUGCAGGCUGUUGGCUGUAGCUGGGGUGUUUGUCCAGGGGGGUCAGCUCUGUCUAGUCUUCUUGAUGGUGGCUUUGGGGGUAUUUUCUGCUAGAAAACAGCACCAGGUGAAAUGAAAUUGACAACCUUGGACACAGACCAGAACUCUGUGGGCAUGGAGCAAAUUGGCAUCUGCAGAUGUAGGAUGAAAGCAGAUCUCCUUGAAAAUGUUGGACUGAACAUCCUGAGUACCUGGAUCAAAUUUAGCAUGAAGACUGAACUGCUGUGCUUUUGCUGCCUUCACUGUUCAUCAAGUUGUCUGGUCUUACAGGUCCAAGAGCUGAUCGCAAAGAUGACAGCUUCAAAGAUGUCUCAGAGAGAACCCCAAACUCUAUUCUUGGGCUGAGUGGGAGAUAUGUCUGUCUUCUGAGGAGGACCAUCACAUUUUAGUUUGAACAUCUUUGAAUCAGGCUAAAACUCCAGUGACAGAAGGAAAAAGCCUGUCCUAGAAGAGCAUAUAUUGAAAGAUUGCACUGCCACCAGCAUGUUGCUUUUAGAAGUCUGGGCAUGUUAAAGAUGGAGCUGCUCAAAGCAGUCCAAAAGAGCAACAGGGUGUGUGACGGGCAGUAAAGUGAUUUGCAACCAAUAGCCCACAAGAGAGCAAGGAGUAAGUGCCACAGGAGCUUGUGCCCACCCCCAGCCCCACUAGGAAGUGAAUGAAGAACUGCAUGGAUCUUGUUUUAAAUGGAACUGAACGGUAAUCCCAGGAGAUUUAAGUGCUGAGAUCAUGCAAUGGAUACAUAUUUCACACCUGGGGAUAGAGACAUGCCUGAGAUGAGCCAGGAAAUCUAUCUACAGGCCAGGCAUGAAUACCCAGUUGAAAGCAUACAUGGAACACUGAAAGCUGUGUAAAGAAUAUAGUGAUUGACAAGAAACGCCUCAUGAAAUCCCAGCCCAGCCCUGGAAAAGGUCAGAACAGACUUGUUUCUAAUGAAAGAAACUUUAUGGCCACGGUAGAUUACUAACCCAGUUUCUGGAAGAUGCACAGACAAGAACGGUGAUCAGAAAAUGGAAGGCACAGGUUUCGAGAUAUGAUACUCACUGGGACCAAGUGAGAGGGUCCUGGUACCUCUCAUUUAGGAUUUUGAAUACUUCAGUGCAUUUAAAAACUUCUGCAUAAUAAGAUUUAUGUCCCUUUAAAUACAAAACAGAAUAGGAAGAUUGUAUCUGUCUUAAAGGCAGCCAAACAAAAGGUGGCAAUGUUAGAGAGAUAAGAAGGAGGGUUGUCCUGUUUGGUUUGAACCUCAUAAAUGCUAAAUAUUUCCACGGUUUAGAUAGUGACAUGUAUUCAGAGUUUAAGAAAGUAUGUCUUCUGAAGCUUGCAGCAAAAAUGAUUUAUUUUUUUUCUUUACAGCUAUUGGGAAACCAAACACAAAGAGCCUAAAACCCAGAAGCUACUGUAUGCAGGCAGGUGUAUAUGAAAUUUACCCUGAAGUUACUAUGAAAGAUAAGAGCACCAAAAAAAGUCAUUGGGUACAGGACGUGAGAGGAGUAAAACAAGCAAGAAUAGUGAAACCUGAGAGACUACACUGUAACUGGAAUCAAAGAUAGCAGCAAGUGAUCAUAGUCAGACUAACGUGCCCAACACAAAAAGGAUGUGAAGUCUGUGAUCAGCACAGAAGAUCAAUACAACCGAUCCUCUCAAGGGCCCUCAAUAAUGACCAAAAUCAGGGAAGUUAAGCAGUGUGGAAAGAACUUGGUUGCUUCAUCGUUGGCAUCCAGUGUUGUUUUAGCUAUUACAACAUAGCCUUUCUGGCAUCCAUUUGCCACCUCGGUAGAGUGUCAAUCUGCUUUAGGUCCUGCGUCAUACCUGCUAUUCCUGUACAGAUGUCUUGGAUACCUUAAGGUCUCUCAAAUGGCACUGGGCACUGAGCAUGAGCAGAGGAAUCCUGUCACUUGCCUUAUGAAGCAUCAUGCUCUUGAAGGGCCACAACAGUGUGGUAAUGGCUACAGACCAGUGUGGCAGCACUGAGUAAGCUGAAGAAAUCUUUAAAUGGAAAGACUGAAGUGUUUUGGUUUGGUUGGAAAACUGAACUAGCUUGCCAGAGGGAAAGCAAAGGAAACCAGAACAUUUUCCCAAAGAGAAGAUUCACAAUUGAAAAAAAAAAACAAUUUCUGGGACAAUGCCGACUGUAAAGUGUGUGACACAAAUCUCUGACAUGUUCACAUCUUGAAAAUUAUGUGUGUCACUUGUCCUCAACUCAAAAAGACCUUUCAAGAUUUAAAAAAGAAAACCAUCACAAAUUUGAUCAGCCCCAACAGGGAAGGCACCAAACAUCUUGUCUGGUAAAUGUUAAGCUCACUGUCAGGAGCCACCAGAUCUUUGGCAUAUACACAUGGGGAAGGGAGCAAGCAAGGUCAAAGGGAUGUACUAUGUGCACAGAGCAGAAGAGGCUAAGUUUUGCAGUCUUAUUUAGCUCUUUCGGAUGAUUGUUCUUCAUUUCAUAAUGAAGUCACGAACAGCCCACAGGAGAUCCCACCUCUUGUACAGAUGAACUCUAGCCUUGUUAUGGAGAGCCCUGCAGGGAUAGAGGGCCAUAACUGGUAACUGUGAUCCUCAUCCUAUCUUUAUGUGUAAGUAUGCUGGGAAGAGAAAAUAAGAAACGAUCCUGGUUUGAAAUUUUAUGAAAAGUCAUUGCAGGCAGCACAGAACAAAGGUAGCUUGCUAACAGUACAACUGUGGAAAUGCACAGACGUUCCUUUUCAUGGGAACCAGCUCACUUUGUGAGCUUCCAUGAGCAAUACACAGUAGCUGGCUAGAGCCAGUGAAUUAAAUGUGGGUUUCUUUUAUGUUGAUUUCUUACUAGUUUGUCUUCAAGAGGAUAAUGGAAGGUUUUUUCUCAAAUGAGAUACAGUGCACCUCAGGCAGGGCAUGGUACCUCUUGUUUGUGAUUACCUUUUUGGCCCAAAGGAGUCAGAGUUACCAUCCCUGGGCUCUUCUACUGCAACACAGAAAGCGUCCUGGUGCCUCCGUGUCUUUCCUGCUUUGGGAACACUGGCAGAUUGAUGAUGAAGAUUUUAUAGACAUACUCGUACAUGUAUAAUGAGACGUGACAAUGCCAGUUGCCUGCAAUAGUCUUGCCUGCUUUGGAAAUCCCUUCUCUCCUCCAUUCAAAGUCUGUCUCCUGUUGUGAGAUGCACUGGCUACACGCAGCUUGCAGCAUGAACAGGCAUAGCUGAGAAAGCACUAACUGCACAGAUCUGGAAUUAAGAAAUACUGUCAGAAAGCUAAUUUCCAUGAGACCAGGAUGGAAUGGACAUUUCAACAUGUGUCAGUAUGGCUUCGUAAGGAUAGCUGCACCACGGGAGACUACUUGCUUCAGACUGAUCAGAUGGAAGAAAAGGCUGUCAACUUAGUUUGACACAAACUGCAAAUUUGACUCAAAAAAGUUCCUGAAAAAUUGUAUGGUGUGCUGUUUAAGGUACAUCAAAUCUUUCUGGAGAGAUAUCCAGUCCCAAUUUAAUUUCUAUGAAAUCCUGUUCUUGGUCUGUGUGGAACCAUACCACAGCCUCAGUGAUGGGAGGAAAUCCAACUGCAAAGGGUCCUUAAGUUAUCAUCCAGCCAUUCACACCUCUGGAAUUUCAUAAUAAAUUGAAUCAGCUGAACGUGGUGGUGGGGUUAGACAGUGAACAGAUCUGAAUGAGUGGUGAAACCAAUGACUCAUCUCAGUGUCUAAUUUCAUUCCUGUUCAGAUUGUUUAUCUAGGAAGAAAAGGGCAGAGAAUGUAUAAGGAUAUAUGUGCUGUUUAUUUAAAUGUGUAGUAGAAAGCUAAUUCCUAGGUAGAAGUUCUGCUCUGAAGCGGUGGGAGGAAAAGACUGAUUUGCUAUAGGGAUAUCAUUAAUUUAUUUAUUUUAAUGACAUUUCUUGUCUUUUGUUUCACAUGUAACAAAAGACGAUAGUGACUUUCUUCAAAGUCCAUCUGUCUGAGAUCCUUCUUUGUUAUUGAUUUCCAUUCAACUCUUUCCAGCUUUUCUAUGAGUUGAUGGCAUUCGAGGGCCAAAGCCUUGUGAUGUAUUUGCUGUGGUUUUAUUAAUGCUGUACAAAGCCUCAUCUCUUCCCUAGUUCCUGAUUGUGGUGGGCUGGAGGAUGGAAAACCAAGCUGCAGUGAAGCAUUUCAAUAUCCUAUUUCACUGCAAACUCACAUUAAAUUUGCUAUUCUCUUUGAAGUCAGCAGAAAAACCGUGACUGACAUCAACUGAAUAUCUGGUUCUGUGUUUCUGACAACAUUACUGCUUGUCUUGUAUAGCAGUCCCUGUGGCCGCUGAGACUGAAAAGUAGCUCAGGCAGUUUCUCAGAGGUUGGGAAUGCUAAGAGCCCCGAUAUCUCAUCCUCUAGCCAGCCUGCUGUCCCUGUCCCCAGUUCUCGUCAACUUUUUCUAACCCACUAGUGCCACUGCCACCAUGUCUCUGCCUAGCCUGUCAGUGCUAAAUUGUCAGUAGGCAUAACAGCAGGAGGAUGAAGGUAACUGUUGGGUGUGAAAGGAGAAGUAGGCAAAUAUUUUGCUUGCCCAAGAAGCGGGAAUGUGCCGUCAAUGUGCCUGGCUAUUUCCCCAAAUAACAUGUUGCAGAGCAUUUUCUGUAAGAGACAGGCCUCCUCUUCAGCAUCCUGCCUCCAAAAAUAACUUGUGCCUGAUCUUUUAAAACCCUUCAUAAUGUACCUUGCCAGUUACAUAUUGCUGAGCAGGAGGGUUGAGAGGAUUAUUUCAGCUGUGGCAAUCAGUUUACACCUUGAACCACAAGAUCGGAUUACUUUUGGUAUUUAAUUUUGAAAUAUUUCCCCCAGAUGUACUGUACCUUUGCAUGUUUCUCGGAUGAAUUUCAUUUUGUUAUUUCCUGCUCUUAUUUCUAAGCUUUCUUAGGUACUCUGUGUUGUUUCUCUGUCUUCACUUGUUUGCAGCACUUCCUAAUUUAGUAUCAUCUGCAAAUUUAAUAUUUGUCUCGGCUCUUUGUAUCACCUGAUCAGUGGUUUUAAAAUAUUAAUGAAAUAUUAAAAACUGAGUUUAGCACAGUCCCUACAAAUUUUCCAAUGGGCAGUUCCCUAAAAGCAUUUAUUUGCGAGUGGGUUUGUUAUAUGCUUAAUGUAUAUGACACUACAGAAGUAUACAGGACCACUCAAUAGAAAUUAUGGACAUCAAUUAAUGCUUUCUUUGCUCUGAAAAACUUAGGCUACAGACAUCUCAAACAUGAGAAAUAGUAUAAAUAGUUUGGGAGUGGGGGCAUGGUUGUACGACUGAAUGUAUGAGUUUUUGAGUUUUCUGUGGGAAGCCUCUAGCAAAAGUGAAUUCAAAGCUGUCAUAAACAUAUUUCAUGACAUAGAUGAAAAAUAAAGACUGUGGUAGGAAAAGAAUACUCAGAUGGUCCAAACAAGACUGGUAUUUCUUUUAAGGAGUGGGACUAAUGAGAAAAAGUAGUAAAGGAAGAGGUCCAAGUUUUUGCAGUGCUUUAAAAUGGUGUUUUGAACUUGAUUUAUAAUAACUGGAAAUCAAGGAGCUGAGAAGGAAGGACAUGAAAAGAGAAGAGAAAUCAAAAUGUCCAUUGAAACAAAGGCAGUAAGAAAGCUGCAAGACAAGAAAAAAAAUAAAAAUCAUUGAUAGAGCUGAGGCAGCAGAUGACUAAUGUAUGAACUUUGAGAAAAGUAGUAAAGAAAAGGCUGAAUUUUUAAAUUUUUUAGACCUAGUUUUCUGGUAGCAUCUAAAUAAGCAUAGUUGAAUAUUUCAGUUGACUUUCCAUUAAAUGAUUUACUAACAUGUAAAUAUCGUACAUCAAUUCUAUUUUUAUAAAUUUAGCUCUUCCACAGUUAAGAAGAGUUUUUCUUGCAAGUUCCUAUUGCAACCUGUUUGUUACUGCUUCUUGCAACCUCACAGUUCAUGCAGGUUACUCCAUCCUGUACUUGGCUUCAGUGGAGAUUCCUUGCUGGCCUGACACGUCUUCAUGAAUUGCUUGCUCCUCCCUCUGUCUGCGAUUGCCUACGUUCUUAUUAGAAAGCGACACUUGGGCAGUUGUUGCAUCCUGCCUGUGCGUGAGUGCCUGCAGCCCGGGAGAACGCCGCCAGGUAGAGGAAGCGUGCGUGCACAGACCUAAUUUUAGACACUGAAAGAAUCAACAGGAUGCGUGGAUCAAGUUACUCUUUGCCUAGGAGAGAACAAGUCCAGAAACAUGAGAUUUCCUGGGGAUGACUGCAGCUUUAAGAGAGGACUUCGACCCACUGGAGAAGAAGGAUGGAUGGUGACUGUGCUGUAGCUAUCUGCCACAUUGUCUGUCUGAAGAGUGCGUACAGCCUUUCUGAGCUGCCAUGGGCUGCUACUUUGCUGUAAAUUCAACCGAUGGCAAAUGAUGGGACCAGGAAAUAAAGGUCUGCUCUCAGCACUCAGUAACACUACCCAGGAAGGCAGGACCUUGACGACAUGGAACAUCUAUCCAGGUUUGGAAAAGGUUACCUACAACAGACUCAGCAAGUUGCUUAUCAGUUUCCACAUGUCUAACCCCCAUCUGUGUGCUCAGAAUCGGAGUGCUUGUACUUAGGUUUCAAAUCAGUAUGCCCAGGUAAGCCUCAUAGUUCUGAAUCAGCAUGAUGUUAACUUUCUGAAAGCAAGAAUCUGUGGCUCCUAGCAUUUCUUGAGAAGAUUGCCUACGCAUGUGAUGGAUCCCCUUCUAAAGAAGCCAUCUGUAGAAGGCUCUUGCAUGCUAGCUUCAUGCACCUCCUUGGCUGCCUGCCUUCCUUUGGAGAACAGGACUCUAUUCACCCCUGUGACCUGAGGCUCCGUUCAUCUGACUCCGAAGCCAUCCCUGCCUGGGCAAAGUGACUAUCUCUGGUGGGGCCAGGGGCGAGGGAGGAAGGAAGGAGCACACUCUUAUCUGAACUGCAAAACAACCACCGCUUACAAUAGUUUUCAUGAGGGGUGACAAGUCUCUUCUCUUUUCAGAAUGUUUAUUGCCAUUUUACACAUGCUCCCAACUUCCCUCCCUCCUUGCACUUUUCUCGCUUUUGUACCCUGUAACUUUCAUCAGUUUGUUUCUUUCCUUUCAGAUGUGCUCAAGGCGCAGCAAGAGUUGAUACAAUCUAAUACAAACUUCCCUGUUUGCUGUAUCAUAAAAUGUAGUGCCUGGUGUGUUCAUUCCCCUCCUGUCAUCAAGUGCCAGCUACAGCAGUGCUUAGUACCUCCAGGUUCUUCCUGCUGUCAUUUUCACUUCCCCCCAAGGACUAAACAUUUAAAAACCAAGAAAUCCUAACUGAGAUCCUAAGUAACACUUGAACCAUGCUGAUCUUAGGUAAACAGUUCCCAGAGUGUUACCAUUCCUGAUGUUGAAAGAGCAGAUCAGUGAAAGAAAAGAAUGUGCAUACAGAUUCUUGGUAAUCAGACAGCCAGCUAAUUUCUCAAUAUUGAAAGAUUCCUUUUGAAGCCAUUAAUUUUGUUUACAUUUCAACUGACACACAGGCUAAUGAGCCUACCGUUUACUCAUGAAAGACUUUUACCCAAUUUUUAGUAGGAGCUAAUGGUUUAAGGCUUAAUUUGAUGAAAACAAUAAGAAAUGUAAAACUGGGCUUGUUUUUUGUCCAUUUUGUAUAUAUUUAUAUUUCAAGCUUUACUUCAUUAAACUGCUUUUUUCAGUUUAGUAGUAGACAAGUAAGAGGAAAAACUGCCCUGCACGUUCUUGGCAGAAAUGCUUUUGCCCGACCAGGUGCCGGUGUGAGAAGUGAUGUCAGGUACUGAAGAAACACCCGAUCUCCUGUUGGCUAGAAGCCUGCCUUUCUGCAUAAGAGUGGGUGUACGUUUCUUAUUGAAAGGUAAAACCUAGGUCAUCAGUAAUAAUCAGCAUCUCUUGCUUAAAAAGGGCUUUAGACUCUCAUCUCCUCCCACAGCAUAGGUUGGGUUGUGUCAGGGUCCUGAUGGGCUUUAAUGGCCCUGACCAGGCUCAGCCGGGAGCACCACCCACAGCCCCUGCCUGCAGGUCCAGGAGCCCCAUUUUGGGCCAGCUUUGGGCACCCUGCUGCUCCCUAAGCCAUGUUGUAGAGGUUCCUGUGCCCUUUGUCUGCUUCCCUGGCUUAUGGGCUGGUUUUCGUGGGUGGACUCCAGACCUGACCUGCAAGGUCGCUUUGCCUUCUGCCCCUGUCCUGGUUAGGCUUCCUGGGUGGAUCCUGCACUUUCCAAUUUAUCUCGCCUUGUCUGGAAUGAUCAAUGGACCCUCUCACAACCACGGGCCCAGCCCCAUUCAGAUGAUGUGGGGCUGCACAUGGGUUACCCUCAUUUCCUAGCUUAUUCUGCCUCUGGAGAAGCUCUGCUUUUGCUGCUCCCUGACAGGGGGCCGUUUUAGUAUUUAACGUUAAUGAGUUUGCUACACAGCAGGAGAGCUCCCAGCCAGCGUUGGUUUUUUUUUUUUUUCUUUUUUUUUCUUUUUUCCUCUGGCCCCUCCACAGCCCCCUCAUGUGUUCCCUGCUCAAGAGAAAGGGGGUCUGCUUGAACAUCGUGCUGCUGUUUGCACUACCACAUGUGGUACAACUCUGCUCAAGGCUCUUGCAGCAAAGUUGAAGGCUUCUCCUCAGGCCCAUGAGCAUGGGCUGUCAAGGUACUGGGAACAAAUCCAUUGCUGAUUCUACUUGGUUUUGCACCUGCAUAAGCAGUUAUUGCUUCAAAAUGUAAUCUUUCAGUUUUGUUUAGGCACGACACAGAGCACUUUCACCUGCUGUGUGAAUUUGUGCACAUUCAGAAGGCCUCCCUGUCUCCAUUUGUCAGUGGAAGGGGUAGAGUUUCCCUGGUGCAGUGCCAAAUUUAUACAGAAUUUGAAAUUUCCUCCUAUACGAGAUGCAGUGUUCUGUAAUCCUCAAGGAGAGCCUAAUGUCUUCGGGAUAUAGAUACAUAUAAAUACCCUGGCAACUGAGAAAACAGUACUUCUAAAUGAAACAGGUGAGUGUGUAGCUGGUAUCCCACUUCCUGCUGUUGUUUAUUGUUUUUCAGAAGCAUACAUUCAUGAUAAAUAAAAUCUCAGAAAAUUUGACAGAAGGAGACUUGAAGAAAGGCUUCACUGUUACUGGUAACUAGCUAACUUAGGCUGACAACAGCAGAUGACUGGUGAAAUAUUGACGUUGUCUUAGACUUGCCUCUUCCUCUUUCUGGAGUGUUGGUCCUGAGAGCCAAUUUAGCCAAUGGUUUUGCCACAUUGCUAAAAUUAAUCUCCAGAUUGAUGUAAAAUUUAUCACAGAAUUCUACCUUUAGAGAAU